rnacentral:rRNA from 1 species
UACGAAGGGGGCUAGCGUUGUUCGGAAUUACUGGGCGUAAAGCGCACGUAGGCGGCUUUGCAAGUUAGAGGUGAAAGCCCGGGGCUCAACUCCGGAAUUGCCUUUAAAACUGCAUCGCUAGAAUUGUGGAGAGGUAAGUGGAAUUCCGAGUGUAGAGGUGAAAUGCGCAGAUAUCAGGAAGAACACCCGUGGCUAAGGCGGCUCUCUAGUACGGUACUGACGCUGAGACGCGAAAGCGUGGGGAGCGAACAGG